CUCCCGCCGGCGACCGGCGCACGGGUGAGUAACACGUGUGAAACCUGCCCGUAGCAGGGGGAUAAGCGGAAGAAAUUCCGUCUAAUACCGCGUAACAACCCGAGGAGGCAUCUCCUCGGGUUUAAAGGAAGCGAUUCCGGCUACGGAUGGUCAUGCGUCGCAUUAGCUAGUUGGCGGGGUAACGGCCCACCAAGGCGACGAUGCGUAGGGGUUCUGAGAGGAAGGUCCCCCACACUGGUACUGAGACACGGACCAGACUCCUACGGAAGGCAGCAG
rnacentral:rRNA from 1 species